UACGUAGGGUGCGAGCGUUGUCCGGAAUUAUUGGGCGUAAAGAGCUCGUAGGCGGUGUGUCACGUCGGCCGUGAAAACCUGCAGCUUAACUGUGGGCGUGCGGUCGAUACGGGCAUCACUGGAGUUCGGCGGGGGAGACUGGAAUUCCUGGUGUAGCGGUGAAAUGCGCAGAUAUCAGGAGGAACACCGGUGGCGAAGGCGGGUCUCUGGGCCGAUACUGACGCUGAGGAGCGAAAGCCAGGGGAGCAAACGGG
rnacentral:rRNA from 1 species